rnacentral:lncRNA from 1 species
UAGUUAAUUAGUUUAAGUUAAUAAAUUUGUUAAAUCUGGACAUUUUAAUUAGGUGUUUUAAAUAUGUUUUUAAUGUGUCUUAUUUCAUACAUAGCAUAAAUAUGUCUAGGCUAUUACAUCUAUUUAAUAUGCCGAAUUUAUUGAUGUUUUAAUUUGUGUCCAGUCGAAUUAAUUAUUGUAGGUGUUGUUGAUAAAAUGUGUUUUAAGUGCUUUAAAGUGACGAAUUUAAUGUGCUGAUAUUAAUUAUGUCUUGACCGAAUUUAUUUGGUGUCUACAGGUAAUAAAUUCGACUGAAUCAGCUGGUUUAAUAGCAAAGGGAAGCAUUUAAGGAGCUGCUGACUUCUCCUUUACAAGCAUGCAUGGUCGGCAUUAAGGGAGGCAUGCUGGCUGGCCGGAUUUAAUGUGCAGCAAAACAAGUAUUAAAGGAGCUGUUUGGCAUGCAAGAGACGACCAUUUAAUGAGCAUAAGCUGCUGAUUACUUUUUCCCAUCUGCCUUUUUCGUGAACAUCAAAGGGGCUGCCGUUUCACUCUCCAAAGCACCUUGGAAGACGCCACCAACAGCUAUGUAAUUUUCCCACCUUUUUGGCCAUUCAGUUCCAUGUGUUCAAACUCAUGGCUGUUCAAAUGCAUGUGUUCACACUUCAUGACCAUUAAGCUACUCAUUAAAUUUAGAACUAUUUAGCUGAUCAAGGAAGCUUCUUCAAGGCUCAUAAACACCCUUGGCCGAACAUACAUUAUCCUUUUUCAGCUCACAAGGCAACUUCAUCAAUUUAGCUGAAUUCCAAGGCAUCUAGAAAUGGCUAUUGGCGUCACCCAUGCCCAAAGGAGCUUCAUGGAAGUUACCUGGAAAUUUCAAGGAAAUUUCAGCUCAUUAAAGCUGAACUAAGUUGUCCAUUAAUGUUCUUAAUAUCCAUUCAGCUAUCCUUGAACUUAGCCUAUAAAUAGGGACUUCCUUCAUUUUGUAAAGGAUUUUUAAACCAUUGAUUAAUGUUUAUACAUUUUGUGAGUUUUUCAACUCUCUUAUUUCGUUUUAGACUCAAGUAGACUUAUCUAGCUUGCUAGUGGCAUCUUCCUUGUUUCUUCGAACUUAUCACUCAAUCCCGAGUGUGGCGUUCAACCAUUUGAUACCUCUGGUUCCUAACUCUUAUAGUUAGUGGGUAAAGGUCCUUUUUCAUCACCUUUAAGUGUCUUAUAAGAAUCGGGUUAGUACUUUAUUUUAGUACUGAUUCCUUCUUGACCUUAAGUCCAUUUUGAUCUAUUUCCUCCACACCGUUCCAUUUUUAAUAUUUUCUUGUUUGUCGAAACCUAUAUCAUUUCAAACUUAACUCUCUUGAACCAAUUUUUCAAACCUUACUCCAUAUUUAGCCAACUUUCAAACUACAUUUCAGAAUCAAGCGAUACGUCUCUAUUUUACGAUCGGGCACAUCAACGACUCGACUCACAUCACUGAGCCAGUUCGUAUCAUUUGGUAUCAAAGCUAGUCAAAAUCGAGGAGUACGAAGGUUCGUGAACUUGCCAGAGUAAGUCAUUGUAAAAAGAAAAAAAAUUCAAAAAAAAUUCAAAAAAAAGAAGUUCAAGGUGUAAUUUUUUUUCUUUUGUAUUUAGCUUUCCAUUGCAUUGAAUUAAAAAAAAUUAAAAAAAGACAGAAAUUUCCAAAAAAAAGUGUUGAAAAGUUGAAAAAAAAAAGAGAGAAAGAAUCUGUUUUGAAGACGUUCAUAGUUUUCUCAAUCUUAAAGUGCUUUUCUACUGAACACAAACCAAUCGCCACACUUAGCACCAUCCUUUCUUUUUUUUUUUUCUUUUCAGCCUACCUUGCACUCCCUAUAUCGACUACCUUUGUGAACCCCUUUGAAGCCGACCCUUUAGGUUCUCUUGAAGUCUGAACGAGUCGAUUACGAAGUUUGAGAGGCGAACCGAAAGGUAAAAGGCAUGAGUGAAAAUACAUCGAGAUAAAAGCCAAAAUAAAAGUGAAAUACGAGUGGUGUGCCAUCUAUUAUUUUCUUUGCGAGAGAUUGAUGAGGAUUUUGAAUCGGUGAGGUUCAUUUACUAUUUAUUCUAUCUUUUGGUUUUCUAACAUUUUGUUGAAGCAUGUUCGAAGAAUUUUCUGAAUUUGAAUUCCAAAUGUGGAAGCGAGAAAUGCAAAGGAUAAUGCGGUUUGAAUUUUGACAAAUACAAGAAGUAGAACUCCAAGAACCAUCCGAAAAAGAUAAAGAAGAUUUGACACAUGCUACCGAUGACAUCAACAUGAGUUCAAUCCUUCAAAGAUUGGAGAAUGAACCGCAACGUGAAAAUCUAUUUCACACUCGAUGUCAUGUUCAUGAUAAAGUGUGUUGCACCGUUAUCGAUGGAGAGAGUAGCUCAAACGUGGCUAGUACUAGAAUGGUGGAAAAACUUGGCUUACCCAUUACCAAGCAUCCCCAACCUUAUAAGUUGAGAUGGUUAAACAACAAAGGCAAAUUUGAAGUUACUCAACAAGUGUGUGUUGCAUUUUCCAUCGGCAGAUACCAAGACGAAGUCGUUUGUGAUGUGGUGCCUAUUCAAGCCUGCCAUUUGUUGCUAGGAAAACCAUGGCAAUUGGAUGGCAAGGUCACUCACGAUGAACGUACCAAUAGGUAUUCCUUCAAGCAUCAAGGAAGGAAAAUCACCUUAGCGCCGCUAACAUCGGAACAAGUCCAUGAGGACCAAAUCAAACUGAAAAAUUCGAUUGUAAAAGAACGUGAGCGAGAAAAGAACAUUGAAAAAGAUAAAAAUGAAAAUGAGAUUUAAAAAACACAAGAAAGUGAAAAGCAAAAAGAGCCUGAAAAGAAAUCGAGUGAAAAAGAAAAAGAGUCUGUUGAAGAAACGAGUGAAUAGAGUAAUCACGAAAAAGAGAGGAAUUCUUUUGCUAACCCCCAUUCGGAAUUACCUUGUGAUUUCUUUUGUUUCAGGUUUGCAAGAUUCCACCCACGGAUUGGUUCCAACUUCAUUACCUUUCUACCGAGAGACGUUUUCAAUUGAUUGAAAAAGGUAAGUUGGAAGAUAAAAACGAAUGUCAUAUUUCCAAAGGUAAGCAAGGUAAGGAAUUUAUCACGAUCCAACCCGAUUGGAAUUUGUUGAUUUCGAUUGAUAAAAGUGUUCAUGUUGUUAAUCUUAAUGAAAUUCAUUAUGAUGCUCUGUAUAGUUGCUAUAAGUUGAAUCUGUUUGUUGAGUUUAAUUUGAUUAGUGUCUUGGAAUUUUCUUCCCAUCAUUUGUUCCCUAUCGAUUCAAAUAACCUUGAGAAGCAAGUUAAUUUGGUUGCUGAUAAAAUUGGCCCGACUCUAAGUCAGCAAAAUAUGUUUUUCAUAUGUGAUAAAAAGUAUUCGUGUAAACUGCUUAAUCUGAUUGGUUUUGAUUGCUACAUGAAUUCUUUCAAUCAAUGCGAUGAAAUUUUGUGGAUACCUCUGAUUGUUCGAAAAAUUUUUGCGAGGUUUAAUUGUUUGAAUAUAUCGAUGCCUAAUUCUUAUUCGUUUAACAAUUGUGAAUUGUUGCUCAGCGAAAAGUUUUCAUUGUAUUGGAGUAUAAGUAAUCAAACUCGCGUGUUUAAACCCGAAAUUUGUUUUGGUUCGAUUUGUGGAAAAAUCAAGCAUCUUAAAUUUCCUGCAAAUAAUUUCUAUAGUUUUGAUAUUUGGUUUUUGAAUAAGGUAAUGACAUUUGAAAAUUUUGUUUUCAAUUUAUAUUCCAUUUUUGUGGUUGUACAUGAAAUUUGCAUUCCAUUUGACAAAGGUUAAUUUAGCCACGAAGCUUCGACUACAUUAUACCCCCGAGGAGUGAAGGUUCGCGUUGAUCGAGCGAGGUAAAAAUGAUCUUUACUUUUCUGCUCAUAAAGGUAAGGCAUUUGAAAGUCUUGGAACUUUUCUGUUCUCCUCAGAUGGUGUUAAAAAUCGUGUUGAAGAUUUAACUUUUGUAAAACACUUAGAUCGUGUUGUGCUUAGUUGUUCCAUUUUGCUUGACGAUGAUCCAUCUGUUUUGGUUGUUGACAAUAAGAUUAUUGUUUCUGAUCAUUUUUAUGAUGCAUGUGUGAAUCAAUCUAUAGUCAAUCGUCUAAUGCACGGUAUGAUUGUGCAACUCCGUGAACCGUGUGAAUCCUUUCAAAUACCUGCUUGUGACGAUUAUGUCUACCAUUUGAUUCAUUAUUCACGUUUGUAAAACACUUAGAUCGUGUUGUGCUUAGUUGUUCCAUUUUGCUUGACGAUGAUCUAUCUGUUUUGGUUGUUGAUAAUAAGAUUAUUGUUUCUGAUCAUUUUUAUGAUACAUGUGUGAAUGAAUCUAUAGUCAAUCGUCUAAUGCACGGUAUGAUUGUGCAACUCCGUGAACCGUGUGAAUCCUUUCAAAUACCUGCUUGUGACGAUUAUGUCUACCAUUUGAUUCAUUAUUCACGUUUGUAAAACACUUAGAUCGUGUUGUGCUUAGUUGUUCCAUUUUGCUUGACGAUGAUCUAUCUGUUUUGGUUGUUGAUAAUAAGAUUAUUGUUUCUGAUCAUUUUUAUGAUGCAUGUGUGAAUGAAUCUAUAAUCAAUCGUCUAAUGCAUGGUAUGAUUGUGCAACUCCGUGAACCGUGUGAAUCCUUUCAAAUACCUGCUUUUGACGAUUAUGUCUAUCAUUUGAUUCAUUAUUCACAUUCUACUUAUGACUUGUGGAAACAAUGAGACGUUUGAAUGCCUUAAAAUAUGUCAAUUUUUGUUUCAAAUACUUGACGAAGCAUUGGCGAGUAAAUUAAUUUGUUUGCAUGAUUGUCAACAUGUUGUUUUGUACCUGUCCAUUCGCAUGCGUUAUACUUGUUUUGUUAUGCUUAUGAUUGGACUACGAGCUUGCUUGCAUUGCUAUUUUCUAACUAAUGGCUAUUUUUUUCAGUUGACUCAAUUGCCAUUUUCCCCAUUCGAUCGAGGAAAGUUGAGUAAGAGGAGCUAUGUUCGAGUGAACCAAUGGAUCGACUUGAGGACAAGUCACUUCGAAGAAGGGGGAAUGAUAUGACCCUGCCUCGAAAACGUCCUUGGUUCAGUUCAUCAGGCGCCAUUCGUAAACUCUUGCAAGCUGAACUAGUUUGUUCCAGCUCAAUAGAGCUCAAUCGAGCUGAUUCUAGCUCAUUGAGUUUGAACUUCAAUUUAUUUAAUUUUAUGCUUUUAGUUUGCUGGAAUAAAUUUUAUUUAGUUCAGCUUGUUUUUAGCUUUUUAAGUUUACAUUUAUUUUGUUGGAAUAAAACAAAUAAAUUGCUGCUAGUUAAAUUAGUUAAUUAGUUUAAGUUAAUAAAUUUGUUAAAUCUGGACAUUUUAAUUAGGUGUUUUAAAUAUGUUUUUAAUAUAUCUUAUUUCAUACAUAGCAUAAAUAUAUCUAGGCUAUCACAUCUAUUUAAUAUGCCGAAUUUAUUGAUGUUUUAAUUUGUGUCCAGCCGAAUUAAUUAUUGUAGGUUUUGUUGAUUAAAUGUGUCUUAAGUGCUUUAAAGUGACGAAUUUAAUGUGCUGAUAUUAAUUAUGUCUUGACCGAAUUUAUUUGGUGUCUACAGGUAAUAAAUUCGGCUGAAUCAGCUGGUUUAAUAACAAAGGGAAGUAUUUAAGGAGCUGCUGACUUCUCCUUUACAAGCAUGCAUGGUCGGCAUUAAGGGAGGCAUGCUGGCUGGCCGGAUUUAAUGUGCAGCAAAACAAGUAUUAAAGGAGCUGUUUGACAUGCAAGAGACGACCAUUUAAUGAGCAUAAGCUGCUGAUUACUUUUUCCCAUAUGCCUUUUUCGUGAACAUCAAAGGGGCUGCCGUUUCACUCUCCAAAGCACCUUGGAAGACGCCACCAAUAGCUAUGUAAUUUCUCCACCUUUUUGGCCAUUCAGUUCCAUGUGUUCACACUCAUGGCUGUUCAAAUGCAUGUAUUCACACUUCAUGACCAUUAAGCUACUCAUUAAAUUUAGAACUAUUUAGCUGAUCAAGGAAGCUUCUUUAAGGCUCAUAAACACCCUUGGCCGAACAUACAUUAUCCUUUUUCAGCUCACAAGGCAAAUUCAUCAAUUUAGCUGAAUUCCAAGGCAUCUAGAAGUGGCUAUUGGCGUCACCCAUGCCUAAAGGAGCUUCAUGGAAGUUACCUGAAAAUUUCAAGGAAAUUUCAGCUCAUUAAAGCUGAACUAAGUUGUCCAUUCAUGUGCUUAAUGUCCAUUUAGCUAUCCUUGAACUUAGCCUAUAAAUAGGGACUUCCUUCAUUUUGUAAAGGACUUUUGAACUAUUGAUUAAUGUUUAUACAUUUUGUGAGUUUUUCAACUCUCUUAUUUCGUUUUAGACUCAAGUAGGCUUAUCUAGCUUGCUAGUGGCAUCUUCCUUGUUUCUUCGAACUUAUCACUCAAUCUCGAGUGUGGCGUUCAACCAUUUGAUACCUCUGGUUCCUAACUCUUAUAGUUAGCGGGUUAAGGUCCUUUUUCAUCACCUUUAAGUGUUUUAUAAGAAUCGGG